rnacentral:rRNA from 1 species
AUGAACGCUGGCGGCGCGCCUAACACAUGCCAGUCGAACGAUUAAAGCACCUUCGGGUGUGUAUAAAGUGGCGAACGGCUGAGUAACACGUGGGCAACCUGCCCCUUUCAUUGGGAUAGCCACGGGAAACCGUGGAUAAUACCGAAUACUUCGAGACUUCCGCAUGGAAGACUCGAGAAAGCUCCGGCGGAGAGGGAUGGGCCCGCGGCCUGUUAGCUUGUUGGUGGGGUAACGGCCUACCAAGGCAAUGAUGGGUAGCUGGGUUGAGAGACCGACCAGCCAGAUUGGGACUGAGACACGGCCCAGACUCCUACGGGAGGCAGCAGUGGGGAAUCUUGCACAAUGGGCGAAAGCCUGAUGCAGCGACGCCGCGUGCGGAAUGAAGGCCUUCGGGUUGUAAACCGCUUUCAGCAGGGACGAGGCGAAAGUGACGGUACCUGCAGAAGAAGCCCCGGCUAACUACGU